AGAGUUUGAUCCUGGCUCAGGACGAACGUUGGCGGCGUGCUUAACACAUGCAAGUCGAGCGGGGCUUAGUGAAAAGUUUACUUUUUACUUUGUCUAGCGGCGGGCGUGGAUAAUCUGCCUGUAAGACAGGGAUAACGCCGGGAAACCGGUGCUAAUACCCGAUAACCUCUUUGGAUCGCAUGGUUUGAAGAGAAAAGGUGGCCUCUUUACAAUGCUACCACUUACAGAUGAAUCCGCGUCCCAUUAGCCAGUUGGUGGGGUAAAGGCCUACCAAAGCGACGAUGGGUAGCCGGCCUGAGAGGGUGACCGGCCACACUGGAACUGAGAUACGGUCCAGACUCCUACGGGAGGCAGCAGUGGGGAAUCUUCCGCAAUGGGCGAAAGCCUGAAGAAGGUUUUCGGAUUGUAAAGCUCUGUGAUAUUGGACGAACGAUUUCCCGUAAAUAAUGGGAAAGAAUGACGGUACAAUAAGAGGAAGCCACGGCUAACUACGUGCCAGCAGCCGCGGUAAUACGUAGGUGGCAAACGUUGUCCGGAAUUACUGGGCGUAAAGGGCGAGUAGGUGGUUUAUUAAGUCAGAAGUGAAAACUCCAGGCUCAACUUGGAGACUGCUUCUGAAACUGGUAGACUUGAGUGCAAGAGAGGGAAGUGGAAUUCCUAGUGUAGCGGUGAAAUGCGUAGAUAUUAGGAGGAACACCAGUGGCGAAGGCGACUUCCUGGCUUGUAACUGACACUGAGGCGCGAAAGCGUGGGGAUCAAACAGGAUUAGAUACCCUGGUAGUCCACGCCGUAAACGAUGAGUGCUAGGUGUCGGGGGUAUCGACCCCCUCGGUGCCACAGCUAACGCAAUAAGCACUCCGCCUGGGGAGUACGGUCGCAAGGUUAAAACUCAAAGGAAUUGACGGGGGCCCGCACAAGCGGUGGAGUAUGUGGUUUAAUUCGAUGAUACGCGAGAAACCUUACCUGGUCUUGACAUGCUGGGACAGCUAUGGAAACAUAGUCUUUCGCCUUCGGGUUAUCCGGGAGACAGGUGGUGCAUGGUUGUCGUCAGCUCGUGUCGUGAGAUGUUGGGUUAAGUCCCGCAACGAGCGCAACCCUUGUUGCUAGUUACCAGCACGUAAUGGUGGGGACUCUAAAGAGACUGCCGGUGACAAACCGGAGGAAGGUGGGGAUGACGUCAAAUCAUCACGCCCCUUACGACCAGGGCCACACACGUACUACAAUGCCCGGUACAGCGAGUUGCAAAGCCGCCGAGGUGGAGCUAAUCUCUUAAAACCGGGCCAAGUUCAGAUCGGAGGCUGCAAUUCGCCUCCGUGAAGCUGGAAUCGCUAGUAAACGCAGAUCAUCAUGCUGCGUUGAAUACGUUCUCGGGCCUUGUACACACCGCCCGUCACACCAUGGGAGCCAGUAACACCCGAAGCCGGUGAGCUAACUUAACGGAGGCAGCUGUCGAAGGUGGGAUUGGUGACUGGGGUGAAGUCGUAACAAGGUAACC
rnacentral:rRNA from 1 species